UUUUAUGAGAGUUUGAUCCUGGCUCAGGACGAACGCUGGCGGCGUGCCUAAUACAUGCAAGUCGAACGCUUCUUUUUCCACCGGAGCUUGCUCCACCGGAAAAAGAGGAGUGGCGAACGGGUGAGUAACACGUGGGUAACCUGCCCAUCAGAAGGGGAUAACACUUGGAAACAGGUGCUAAUACCGUAUAACAAUCGAAACCGCAUGGUUUUGAUUUGAAAGGCGCUUUCGGGUGUCGCUGAUGGAUGGACCCGCGGUGCAUUAGCUAGUUGGUGAGGUAACGGCUCACCAAGGCCACGAUGCAUAGCCGACCUGAGAGGGUGAUCGGCCACAUUGGGACUGAGACACGGCCCAAACUCCUACGGGAGGCAGCAGUAGGGAAUCUUCGGCAAUGGACGAAAGUCUGACCGAGCAACGCCGCGUGAGUGAAGAAGGUUUUCGGAUCGUAAAACUCUGUUGUUAGAGAAGAACAAGGAUGAGAGUAACUGUUCAUCCCUUGACGGUAUCUAACCAGAAAGCCACGGCUAACUACGUGCCAGCAGCCGCGGUAAUACGUAGGUGGCAAGCGUUGUCCGGAUUUAUUGGGCGUAAAGCGAGCGCAGGCGGUUUCUUAAGUCUGAUGUGAAAGCCCCCGGCUCAACCGGGGAGGGUCAUUGGAAACUGGGAGACUUGAGUGCAGAAGAGGAGAGUGGAAUUCCAUGUGUAGCGGUGAAAUGCGUAGAUAUAUGGAGGAACACCAGUGGCGAAGGCGGCUCUCUGGUCUGUAACUGACGCUGAGGCUCGAAAGCGUGGGGAGCAAACAGGAUUAGAUACCCUGGUAGUCCACGCCGUAAACGAUGAGUGCUAAGUGUUGGAGGGUUUCCGCCCUUCAGUGCUGCAGCUAACGCAUUAAGCACUCCGCCUGGGGAGUACGACCGCAAGGUUGAAACUCAAAGGAAUUGACGGGGGCCCGCACAAGCGGUGGAGCAUGUGGUUUAAUUCGAAGCAACGCGAAGAACCUUACCAGGUCUUGACAUCCUUUGACCACUCUAGAGAUAGAGCUUCCCCUUCGGGGGCAAAGUGACAGGUGGUGCAUGGUUGUCGUCAGCUCGUGUCGUGAGAUGUUGGGUUAAGUCCCGCAACGAGCGCAACCCUUAUUGUUAGUUGCCAUCAUUCAGUUGGGCACUCUAGCAAGACUGCCGGUGACAAACCGGAGGAAGGUGGGGAUGACGUCAAAUCAUCAUGCCCCUUAU
rnacentral:rRNA from 1 species